rnacentral:rRNA from 1 species
CGUAGAUGCAUAUCUUGCAACCUUCUCUCUCGUGGAGGGGGCCCCUUGCAGUUUACUGGGCCAGCAUCAGUUUGGGCGGUAGGAUAAUGACUGAGGAAUGUGACUUGCCUUCGGGGAAGUGUUAUAGCCUUGGUUGAUACUGCCAGCCUAGACUGAGGACCGCGUCUUUGACAAGGAUGUUGGCAUAAUGAUCUUAAGCCACCCGUCUUGAAACACGGACCAAGGAGUAC